GUGGCUAAUACCGGAUGUGCCGAGAGGUGAAAGGCUUGCUGCCUGAAAAUGAGCUCGCGUCUGAUUAGCUAGUUGGUGUGGUAAGAGCGCACCAAGGCGACGAUCAGUAGCUGGUCUGAGAGGAUGAUCAGCCACACUGGGACUGAGACACGGCCCAGACUCCUACGGGAGGCAGCAGUGGGGAAUUUUCCGCAAUGGGCGAAAGCCUGACGGAGCAAUACCGCGUGAGGGAGGAAGGCUCUUGGGUUGUAAACCUCUUUUCUCAAGGAAUAAGAAAUGAAGGUACUUGAGGAAUAAGCAUCGGCUAACUCCGUGCCAGCAGCCGCGGUAAUACGGAGGAUGCAAGCGUUAUCCGGAAUGAUUGGGCGUAAAGCGUCCGCAGGUGGCACUGUAAGUCUGCUGUUAAAGAGCAAAGCUUAACUUUGUAAAAGCAGUGGAAACUACAGAGCUAGAGUGCGUUCGGGGUAGAGGGAAUUCCUGGUGUAGCGGUGAAAUGCGUAGAGAUCAGGAAGAACACCGGUGGCGAAGGCGCUCUACUAGGCCGCAACUGACACUGAGGGACGAAAGCUAGGGGAGCGAAUGGGAUUAGAUACCCCAGUAGUCCUAGCCGUAAACGAUGGAUACUAGGCGUUGCGAGUAUCGACCCUCGCAGUGCCGGAGCCAACGCGUUAAGUAUCCCGCCUGGGGAGUACGCACGCAAGUGUGAAACUCAAAGGAAUUGACGGGGGCCCGCACAAGCGGUGGAGUAUGUGGUUUAAUUCGAUGCAACGCGAAGAACCUUACCAAGACUUGACAUGUCGCGAAUCCUCUUGAAAGGAAGGAGUGCCUUAAGGAACCGCGAACA
rnacentral:rRNA from 1 species